rnacentral:rRNA from 1 species
GAUGAACGCUGGCGGCGUGCCUAAUACAUGCAAGUCGAGCGAACAGACGAGGAGCUUGCUCCUCUGACGUUAGCGGCGGGCGGGUGAGUAACACGUGGAUAACCUACCUAUAAGACUGGGAUAACUUCGGGAAACCGGAGCUAAUACCGGAUAAUAUAUUGAACCGCAUGGUUCAAUAGUGAAAGACGGUUUUGCUGUCACUUAUAGAUGGAUCCGCGCCGCAUUAGAUAGUUGGUAAGGUAACGGCUUACCAAGGCAACGAUGCGUAGCCGACCUGAGAGGGUGAUCGGCCACACUGGAACUGAGACACGGUCCAGACUCCUACGGGAGGCAGCAGUAGGGAAUCUUCCGCAAUGGGCGAAAGCCUGACGGAGCAACGCCGCGUGAGUGAUGAAGGUCUUCGGAUCGUAAAACUCUGUUAUUAGGGAAGAACAAAUGUGUAAGUAACUAUGCACGUCUUGACGGUACCUAAUCAGAAAGCCACGGCUAACUACGUG